GCAGCAGCGAGAGCGAGGAGGAAGCGCGCAGGGAGUUUUUGUCGCGUCCCCUCCGGCUGUGUCAGUACAGCGCACGGUGGUUUAAGGCGCCUCCAAUACUCGACGGGCGGAGAAGGCGCGGAGGGGGCAGCGGAGGGGCCCGCGGACCGGAGGGGCGAGCCCUGGGAGGAGCCCCCGGUGCGGGACGACGCUGUCGGAGGGUGGGAGAGGGACUUGGCAGCCCCCACACCAGGGCGAGGCGCCGCCCGGUCCCGGUCCCUGGACAGACCUCAGCGGCCCUGGAGCCCUCCAGCGACGGGUUCUCGGCUGCCUUUGGACGGAAGCCCCUGCACGCUAGGCGCCCCCGGCCAUGGGACGGUAGGGCGCUCGAGGGGCGACGCAGGAGCCUCUCUAACGGGCCGGGAGCAGCCGGGGAGAUUUUGCAAGGGCCCUCCGUGGGGUGGCACCGCCGUGAGCCCAAGCCUUCUUCGCCGAGCAAGCCACGCAGGUCAUCGUGGAGGAUCCAAAAUGCAACAAGAAGCAGCAAGCACCGAGCACCCUUCUCAUGGGCCCCACGUGCCAUAAGGACAACAUCAUACUCGUGUGCCUGGCUCAGGGCUUCUUCUACAAGUGGCCAAUCGAUGUGACCUGGACACGCGAUGACAAAAAGGUGGAGGGCUUAGCCUUUGCCACGCAGCAGCCCCAGGACCAGGGCACAUGCAGCUUCAGCAUCACCAGUCGCCUGCGUGUUGCAGCUUCAGAAUGGAGGGAGGGCCACAAAUAUGCAUGCCACGUGAUGCAAGGCAUCGGCUCACAGGCAAAUGACUCAGUGACAAGUGAACGGAUUGUGCAGUCAAAAUCUUUGGGGUCCUUUAAGAUUCAGCUUAGUCUUCGUGCAGGGCAGCUCAUUUUCCUGCUCCUGGCUGCCAAGAGCUUGGCCUAUGGCACCAUUCUGGGGAUCUACACAGCACAUAAGAAAACAGGUUUCUAAUGAGGCUGCUGAAAGGCUGUACUUCCCCUUGCUGGCAUGAUCCCCAGAGCAGCAUUAGCUCCCUCUGCAGCUAUAAAAUGUAUUUGCUUAUAGCUGGAGGCCAUUCCCAUUGAGGAUCCAUACAUGGUGCCCUGAAGUUUUCAUAUCAUCCCUUCUUGGCCAAUCUGGAUUGGUUACGCGACAGACUUUGCGCUGAAUUGCUCUUUGCCUUAGAGCAAAUGCCAACCCUAAUUUCCCGAGUAACAAUAAAAAAUAAAUAAAUUUUCUGAUCUCCUGA